rnacentral:lncRNA from 13 species
CAGACAACUACAUUUAUGCAAGUUCCCUGCCCUUCUUUGUCAAGUGGAGAGAAUGUGUUAUUGAAACGACCAUUGCAUAAGUUACAUGUCUCUGUCUUUUUGCUGCUAACACAUGUAAAGUGGGAGCGGGCUGGGAAUUUUAAAGAGCAGAUUAUUCCGAGUGCCAUUGAGCUUUUUGCUCAUUUUCUCUGAAAGCGCCAAUUAUUUUUUUUUCACGUGCUUAACGAACUGUCAUUUGAAUAAUUGCAUCUAAUACUUGUUUUCACAACAUUCGGUAUGCAGACUGUCUGUUGUUGAAUGGGAGAUCAUUAGACGUGGGCAGACAUUUUGCAUGUAGGAUGACAGCAGUGUCCUCCAUUGGGUUUGCUCCUGCCAUGUUUGACAUUAAAAAAAGCAUUGUUGAUGUGUAUUCAGUAAUGUCAAAAGUUCUUAACAUUGUGGAUAGAAAUAGACUGAAUCCCUGUUCUACAACACAGACAAUCCUAUCUGUCAUAAUACAUUUCUUUCUGAAUGUUUUCUAACAUUGCACCCCCCUGAACAGACCCCUGGACUCUUUCUCAGGUGAAUGUGGGGAUGUUAAAAGAGAGUCACUUGGAAAUGGCAACCUCUCUCCUUCUCUGGACGUAUAUUUCAAGAUAUAGACUAGACCAGAAAGAGGAGUGUGUGUGGGAGUGUGUCAGCAAGCAUCUCUCCCCUGCGGCUAAGCUAAGAGCUCCUGCACAGAGCAGACCAGACUGCUUUAAACAGGCUCUUAACAGGCAUCUCGUAGAUGGCUCUGCCUCCUGCCUCCACCCCAAAGGACACCUUCCCUCCGCCCACACAUUUCCCCAUUGUGCCUGAAAAAAAAANNNNNNNNNNCUCAGGUGAAUGUGGGGAUGUUAAAAGAGAGUCACUUGGAAAUGGCAACCUCUCUCCUUCUCUGGACGUAUAUUUCAAGAUAUAGACUAGACCAGAAAGAGGGUAAGGAAAUAGUUCAAACACUGAUUGAAUUGUGAUAAAAGGAUUCCUGUCUAAUCAUGUUUUCCAUCAGUUAAUAGUAUUGUUAGUGUUCUACACCAGUAACAAUACUGAAUGUUAUCUGUACAUGAAACUUGGUCUAUGAAGUGUGACCAUCUGAUUGUAUCCUAACAAGUGUGCAGAGCAGCACAUUGGUUCAUAGUUCACAUGUAUCCCUCCUGAACAUGUACCAGUUACUGCUCUUCUCAUCGUCUCACAGAGUGUGUGUGGGAGUGUGUCAGCAAGCAUCUCUCCCCUGCGGCUAAGCUAAGAGCUCCUGCACAGAGCAGACCAGACUGCUUUAAACAGGCUCUUAACAGGCAUCUCGUAGAUGGCUCUGCCUCCUGCCUCCACCCCAAAGGACACCUUCCCUCCGCCCACACAUUUCCCCAUUGUGCCUGAAAAAAAAAGUAAAACUGUGGAAAAAUUUCAAAAUGUCUUUCUCUCCUCAAUUCCAGUGAUAUAAUGCUUACCAAUGGUCUGAUGGAUCGGUCUCUCUCUCUCUCUCUCUCUCUCUCUCUCCCUCUGUACUCACUCCCCCGUCUCUUCCUCUCUCUCUCUCUCUUCCUCCCUCUCAAUUCAAUUCAAUUCAAUUCAAGGGCUUUAUUGGCAUGGGAAACAUGUGUUAACAUUGCCAAAGCAAGUGAGGUAGAUAAUAUAUAAAGUGAAUAUAUAAAGUGAAAAACAAUAAAAAUUAACAGUAAACAUUACACAUACAGAAGUUUCAAAACAGUAAAGACAUUACAAAUGUCAUAUUAUAUAUAUACAGUGUUUUAACAAUACAAAUGGUACAAAUGGUUAAAGGACACAAGAUAAAAUAAAUAAGCAUCAAUAUGGGGUUGUAUUUACAAUGGUGUGUGUUCUUCACUGGUUGCCCUUUUCUCGUGGCAACAGGUCACAAAUAUUGCUGCUGUGAUGGCACACUGUGGAAUUUCACCCAGUAGAUAUGGGAGUUUUUCA